UGCCCUGGAGGAGGGCAUGGCACCCCACUCCAGUAUUCUAGCCUGGAGAAUGCCAUGGACAGAGGAGCCUGGUGGGCUACAGUCCAUGGGGUCACAGAGGGUCAGACACGACUGAAGUGUCUGAGUACACUCACACAAUGCCAGGUGAACAGUGAGGAAACAGCAUCAGUGAAUAUCCUGUUGUGUGUUCACAGCUUGUCACCAUGGUUUUUCUCCUGGGUUAAGCCUAUAUCACUGUCAAGCUGACAGUCUUUUUUUAUCCUGAUUUCACGAGGGUCAGAGAUGCCCAUACAGGACAGGAACUGUCAGAAGGCCGUGGCUCUGGGUCUGAGAGUCGUGGCUCAAGAUUCCUUUGAGAUGGUUAGAAAGUGGGAGCUGACUGGUACCCUGGAUUCAGGUCAAAUACGACAGGAGGUGGGGAGAGAGGAGUACCCUGGGACACAAGCAGGUGGAAGGAACCGGGGGGCUUCUGGAACCCCCACGGGUGGUAGAGCACACAGGCCCAAUACCCCCAUGGUGAUGCUUUGAUCUCUUUGAGAGUCAUGCUCACGGCCUCCCCAGUUUCUCCAGCAGAGAUGCACACGCCUCCAUAAGAGCCCCAAGGCUUCUCCCCAACCCUGGGGAGAGGGGUUGAGAAACAGAUUGAGAAAUAGAUCAGAAUCUAACCUGCAGGCCUCUCGGGGGUUGGUGAAGCCUGGCGGCCUCUCUCCCCACCUGCUGCUCUUGGCCGUGGAUGGACCAUCCCAGCGACCCACUCAGUUCCCUGGAGCAGCCUUCCUGGCCUCCAGGGACACCCCCCGCCACGUCCUCUGCACUCACGCCACCCCCCAGGCCCACAGAGGCCCCACCGCACAUUAGCAGCACCCUCUUUCAGGCCCCACCCCAUCCUGCUUUGUUCCCCUCUGCCCCCCAUCCCCUGAGGCCACGCAGGAAUUUCCAAGUCCAUGCUCUCUGGAACCACACACCUAUUCUGUGAAGCUGUCGUGUGAAUCCUUGCUCGGUCCUGGAGGCAGGGAGGUUCAGGAGAGAGAGCGUUUAGUCUGGCCCGGGACGUUGCUGGGAUUUGUCCAGUGUCAGCUGGGUCUCUCUGCAAGGGUUUCAUUUUUUUUUUUUUUUUUUCAGGAAGAAAAAAAAUUGAGAAUUUUUUUUUUUUUUUUAAGAAAUCUUUAAAAAAGAUUCUCCAGGCAAGAAUACUGGAGUGGAUUGCCAUUUCCUCCUCCAGGGGAUCUUCCCGACCCAGGGAUCGAACCCGCGUCUCUCAGAUCUCCUGCCCAAGGGAACACCAGUUUAAAACUCAACCACCUUUCUCAGUGUGAAUCUAAAAGACACAGGGGUGACUGCAGAUAUGGAUCAUCUUGGCCCAGCUGCGUGUGUCAAGGUGCAAACAGCAGUUUGCAAAGUUGAAGACCAGAGAAGGACGUCUUGGGUUGUAAGGACGCCUGGACUGUGCACACUCAUGUAAGGCUGGACAACCCAGCUCUUCACUCUCAGGAAAACCUGCAGGCAGAUUCUUGACCACUGGACCACCUGGGAAGUCCCAGCUACUUUGAUAGAGGAAUGCCAGCUGAAGCAGUCAGCUCCACACAGCCAAACAGACUUAACCUGCAGUAAAGUGAGGUAUUGGCACUCUAACCCCUUGCUCCGAGCCCCGGAGUCCUGCGAUGAUGCACUCAGGUCUGUGGCCUGUGCAUUUCCAGCUUGCUAUUUUGGUCAUCUUUGGUAGCAGGAGGCCCCAUCCUUCCUGCUUAGGUGCCAAGACCCUAAGGCUUUCUCCUUCACAGGCCCCAGUGCCCGCUGAAGACAGAGCUUGCCCAGGACACACGCGGACACAUUAUCAUUGUUUUCUUCCUGGAGGUUAAGUAGUUUGUUUGCAGGGGGCUCCUUUUGCAAGGAAAGUAAGAAAGCUCAAGUCCUGCACAUCUGUUCAUUUCACAAGCACUGUGUGAGCACGUGGAUGGGUAGGUCGGUCCCCCAUUCUUUGUUUCUGGAUACACGUGUGUCCCCAGAGUACGGCUUGACUUAGACCCAACCAAUGAUCCAAAUGGUUACGUUUUAAUCAGAGGCUAAUUACUUUAUGAUGUUGUGGUGGUUUUUUUUUGCCAUACAUUAGCAUGAAUCAGCCACGGGUGUAUACAUGUGUCCCCCAGAUUAGCAAGGAAACACAAACUUUAGACGAUGUAAUGGACCAGUUAGACCUAAUUGACAUCUACAGGAUAUUUCACCCCAACGGGUUAUUUGACAUGUCCGUUCUAAGGAGCUUUGCUCCGGGUCUGGUGACGGGACUCGGUGCUGCUGUAGAACUGUGUCAUAAUUCCUUCCACAAGGGAAAGAGGGGAUCCAGAAGGGCGUGGCUCCAGUCAGUGAAGGAAUCUGUGGACGGUCUUGCAAGUCCGUGCACCUGGCGUGAGUAGCAGUGGCCUCCGUACCCUGUGUGAAGAUAAUAUUUAUCUGCUUGCAGUUACGGCCUCUUACGUGCUUCGCAUACUCAACGUGUAGUCGGUAUUUGCAAUGUGUCUGAAAGUUCCUCAGGAUUCUUGCAUGAACCAGAGUGUGGCAGAGAGCGUUCAUGUUGAACUUACAGAAUGUUGUUAGUAAGAACAACUUGGAACAACGUUUGAUUAAUGACCAAGGUGAGGAGGUCCUGGCAACCCACUCCAGUAUUCUUGCCUGGAGAACUCUGAGGACAGAGGAGCCUGGCAGGCUAUACAGUCGGUGGGAUCGCAAAGACUCAGACACAACUGAAGCAACUUAGCACAAUGACCAAGGUAAGAGUGAAUGAUCUUCUAUCAGUGUUUUCAUUUUGUUCAUAAGCUCCAUAACACUGUACACUUUCAAAGGUUAUACACUGUGUUUUGCAUCAGUUUAAAAGGUAUAUGCAAGCACUAUUCUGAAUGAUAGUGAUGGUGAUUUAGUCACUAAGUUGUGUCUGAGUCUAGCGACCCCCUGGACUGUAACCUGCCAGGCUCCUCUGUCCAUGGGAUUCUCCAGGCAAGAAUACUGGAGUGGGUUGCCACGCCCUGCUCCAGGGGAUCUUCCCGACCCAGGGAUGGAACCGGGGUCUCCUGCAUUACCAGGUGGAUUCUUUUACCAGCUGUGGUACCAGGGUCUUCUCUUAGUUCCUUCAGGCUGUUACAAUAGAAUACUACAGUCUGAGUGGCUUAUAAACCACAGACAACUCUUUCUUUCUCACAGCUGUGGAAGCUCUAAGUUCCAGAUCGAGGUGACAGUGGAUUCUGUGUCUGGUGAGAGCCCACCUCCUUCUUGGUUCAUAGAUGGCCCACCUCCUUCCUGGUUCACAAAGGGAUUUAAAAGCAUGUGGUUGAUUAUCUGGGAAACGUUACGUAAAUUGUUUCCUCAGUGUGAAAAAGGAAGGGCUUUUUAACAGAGUUGGUGUUUGUUAAUUCAUGUAUCCGUCUUACAAUGAAUAUUUGUUAAGUGUCUACUGUGUGCCAAACAUUGGGGUCAUCCCUGGAGGGAGAAAAGGAGUGAAUGGUCAUUUCCUCCCUUAUGGAAUGUGUAUUCUUUGGUAAAGACACACGUUAAGCACAUGAUUUGUGAAAAGUGAGCCGUGUGUCUCGUUACUGGACAUGAAGGAGUAACUCAUGUGACAUAGACAUGGGGAAUCAGUGUCCCUUCAUCCGUGAGGGAAACCCUUGAAUCAAGGUCGGAAGGAGGUAAGUGAAGACUUCUGUGUCAGAACCAAGUCAUCUAAGCCACUUCCUUAAUCACAGAAAUACACACAGUGAGGUCCUAACAGCUGGGGACUGAGGCCUCAUUUUCCCAGAUCCAUUUCCAGCUCAAUUUCUUCCCAUCACAUCCUAUUUUCUCGCCCAACCUACUCAGUAUAGGAGAAACGGUUUAAAAUGCAUUAGAUUGCAAUUUGUCUUAGGCUUUGUUGAUUUCAUUUGCCUUUCUUCCAUGUAGAUUUUAUUCAUGGGUGUUUAUCACUUGAUUGAAGUAAACUAUUUUAUUCAAAGUCAAUUAACCAAAUCUUUUUAAGGAAAAAAAAUUCUCUCUAUACCAUUUUCUAUUACUUACUGCUAUACCAGUUAAAACAGUGAAGGAAAAUGUGUUCCCUUGUAAAAAAAUAAUCAUAGCCGAGAAUGAAUUUGACCUCCCGAAAUACAUUUUAGAAUGCUUAAGUGUGUGUGGUAGCUCUUUUUCGUUCCUGAAAAGAACAAAGACGGAUUUAUCUAGAGAUUUCUUAGAACAACAUGCUUUUGGGGGCAAAAGUAGCAAUGAGAUGGACAAACCACAAAACAAAGCAAUGAAUUAAAAAAGUUGCAGUUAACCUAUUGUUUUUAAGAUAGAGCAUCUUAAAAUAUAAUCCACCAUACUAGAGAGUUAGGCAUCUGUUGUGCUGAAUGAUUUCGGUUCUUCAAUGAAACCAUUUAUAGUAUAGAAAUGAAAACAAGCUUGAAUUGUAAAAACUGAAAUUCUGAAAAACAAAGUUUAUAAUUGAGCUUUAGAUCCAUCCUUCCAUAUGAAUGGAUGAAAACUAAAUGAAUCUGAAAGGUAAGUGAAAAAGAAUAAUGAUAUGGUGAGUGUCUUAUACUCUUCCUUCGUGGUGAAUUGUUUAUAGAGAAUGAAUGAAGAGGAAGGCAGAUUGUACUAUUCCUGUUUCUAGACUGACUUUUGUAGUGUAUGUGGUGAGUUUUUGCUCUGCUAGCAUUUUAUUGGGAAGUAAUGCUGAAAUGGUCAUGCAUGUGCAGUGGGCAUGUAUAUAUGGAGUCAUGUAUGGAUGUGAGAGUUGGACUAUAAAGAAAGCUGAGCGCAGAAGAAUUGAUGCUUUUGAACCGUGGUGUUAGAGAAGACUCUUGAGAGUCCCUUGGACU